UUUUCCGUGACGUCAGAGGUUUGACGCUACUUUUUUUAAAACUUUCGAUUCAACUUCAAAUUCUGUCUCCAGUUCCAGCUGGCGAAGAUGGGCGCUAGAGCACAAUUUGACGUGUUCAAAAAAACGUGGGGUAAAAAGUACAAGACGGAUGCUGAGGAAGAGGAACGAUUUAAAAUAUUCGAUCAAAGUUUGGAAAAAGUAAAAGAACUCAACGACCAAAGGGACAAACGCGGAGACACCGCCGUUUUCGGAGUCACUAAAUUUUCCGACCUUACCCCGGAAGAAUUCACCCGGAUGUACGUGAGGGGUACCGGUAUUCUUAGGGACGCCGGUAUUCCUAAGCCGGACUGGAUGAAAGGCAAACCUCCGGCGAGAAACUUCAGCAAGGUUCCAUCGAGACAGGUCAGCAAGGUGCCAUCGAGACAGGUCAGCAAGCCUCCAGCGAGACAAAAGAGCAAGUCUCCAGCGAGAACCAGAAGCAAGUCCCCUAGAAGACUAAGGUCGCAGAAUUUGCAAGGUCGAGGGCUACCGAAAAAUGAUCGCGCUCAGUCGAGCUCUCCGCCAAGGGGAACCGGUCCCAGGGGAAGAACGGGAAGACGCUCUCCGUACAAGGGGAGAUCCGCCUCCGCGGGCCGCGAGGACGAGCGAACAUGCAAGGUCAAUCCCAAAGGCAAUCACAUCCUCAAGAUGGACGAUGAUGAAAACCGUAGGCGUCGGCGGCGGGGACGCAGGCGUGAACCGGAACCGGAACCCGAACCUGAACCGGAACCGAUUCGGCAGAUCAUCGGGCCGGACCCCAUCGGCAGGGCUGCCGUGGACUGGCGCGUCCCUGCUCGUCUUUAUCCUCCCGCUGAAAAUCAGAAAUUAGGGGAGAAGAACUGUGGAUGUUGUUGGUCAUUUGCGUGCAUUGGUGCUUUGGAAAUCAUCUGGUCCCAUCAGAAGGGGAGGUCGUUAAGUUAGCAGCACAAGGUAAUGGUUAUAUUAAAAGAAGUCAGAGUAUUUUCUUACAGUCUCUGUUAUUCUUCUUGUUUCUCUCGGAGAUUUAACCUAAUUCAGCAUUUUAUAAGUUUUCGCACACGUUUUCCACAUCCUGAAUGUUAUAUCGACUUGACUUUUUUUUCG
rnacentral:lncRNA from 1 species